AGGUAUGCCGGCCAAACAGACCAAUGCUAUUUCCAACCGGCCGAACGGCCGAACCCAUAUCACUGACUCACUAUCGGGGGUGGCAGCCAACGUCUGACUUUCACAAGGCACCAGAUCAGCCAACAGUAUUUUCGAGUCAUCACCCGACAUUCCGACAGUCGAAUACCGACAUAUAGUCGGCCAGCCCAUCCAAACAUCGUACAACCACUAUGGGCUA
rnacentral:lncRNA from 1 species